rnacentral:rRNA from 1 species
GGCAGGUACAGAGGGAUGCUACCGGGCGACCGGAUGCGGAUCUCGAAAGCCUGUCCCAGUUCGGACUGGAGUCUGCAACCCGACUCCACGAAGUUGGAUUCGCUAGUAAUCGCGCAUCAGCCAUGGCGCGGUGAAUACGUUCCCGGGCCUUGUACACACCGCCCGUCAAGCCAUGGAAGCCGGGAGUGCCUGAAGUGUGCAACCGCAAGGAGCGCCCUAAGGUAAAACUGGUGACUGGGGCUAAGUCGUAACAAGGUACC